UACGGAGGGGGCUAGCGUUGUUCGGAAUUACUGGGCGUAAAGCGCACGUAGGCGGCUUUGUACGUUAGCGGUGAAGGCCCGGAGCUCAACUCCGGAAGUGCCUUUAAGACUGCAUCGCUCGAAUCAUGGAGAGGUGAGUGGAAUUCCGAGUGUAGAGGUGAAAUUCGUAGAUAUUCGGAAGAACACCAGUGGCGAAGGCGACUCACUGGACAUGUAUUGACGCUGAGGUGCGAAAGCGUGGGGAGCAAACAGG
rnacentral:rRNA from 1 species